rnacentral:rRNA from 1 species
GUGGGGAAUAUUCGACAAUGGGGGGAACCCUGAUCCAGCCAUGCCGCGUGUGUGAAGAAGGCCUUUUGGUUGUAAAGCACUUUAAGCGAGGAGGAGGCUACCGAGAUUAAUACUCUUGGAUAGUGGACGUUACUCGCAGAAUAAGCACCGGCUAACUCUGUGCCAGCAGCCGCGGUAAUACAGAGGGUGCAAGCGUUAAUCGGAUUUACUGGGCGUAAAGCGCGCGUAGGUGGCCAAUUAAGUCAAAUGUGAAAUCCCCGAGCUUAACUUGGGAAUUGCAUUCGAUACUGGUUGGCUAGAGUAUGGGAGAGGAUGGUAGAAUUCCAGGUGUAGCGGUGAAAUGCGUAGAGAUCUGGAGGAAUACCGAUGGCGAAGGCAGCCAUCUGGCCUAAUACUGACACUGAGGUGCGAAAGCAUGGGGAGCAAACAGGAUUAGAAACCCGGGUAGUCC